AUGCAGUCGAGGGGCAGCAUAAUGGAUAGCAAUAUCUAUGGUGGCGACCGGCGCACGGGUGCGUAACGCGUAUGCAACCUACCUUUAACAGGGGGAUAACACUGAGAAAUUGGUACUAAUACCCCAUAAUAUCAUAGAAGGCAUCUUUUAUGGUUGAAAAUUCCGAUGGUUAGAGAUGGGCAUGCGUUGUAUUAGCUAGUUGGUGGGGUAACGGCUCACCAAGGCGACGAUACAUAGGGGGACUGAGAGGUUAACCCCCCACACUGGUACUGAGACACGGACCAGACUCCUACGGGAGGCAGCAGUGGGGAAUAUUGGUCAAUGGACGCAAGUCUGAACCAGCCAUGCCGCGUGCAGGAUGACGGCUCUAUGAGUUGUAAACUGCUUUUGUACGAGGGUAAACGCAGAUACGUGUAUCUGUCUGAAAGUAUCGUACGAAUAAGGAUCGGCUAACUCCGUGCCAGCAGCCGCGGUAAUACGGAGGAUUCAAGCGUUAUCCGGAUUUAUUGGGUUUAAAGGGUGCGUAGGCGGUUUGAUAAGUUAGAGGUGAAAUUUCGGGGCUCAACCCUGAACGUGCCUCUAAUACUGUUGAGCUAGAGAGUAGUUGCGGUAGGCGGAAUGUAUGGUGUAGCGGUGAAAUGCUUAGAGAUCAUACAGAACACCGAUUGCGAAGGCAGCUUACCAAACUAUAUCUGACGUUGAGGCACGAAAGCGUGGGGAGCAAACAGG
rnacentral:rRNA from 1 species